UACGUAGGUGGCAAGCGUUGUCCGGAAUUACUGGGCGUAAAGCGUGCGCAGGCGGUUUUGUAAGUCUGUCGUGAAAAUCCCCGGGGCUCAACCCUGGGGAAUUGCGAUGGAGACUGCAAGGCUAGAAUCUGGCAGAGGGGGGUAGAAUUCCACGUGUAGCAGUGAAAUGCGUAGAGAUGUGGAGGAACACCGAUGGCGAAGGCAGCCCCCCUGGGUCAAGAUUGACGCUCAUGCACGAAAGGCGUGGG
rnacentral:rRNA from 1 species